GGUUGAGGUUUGCACGUGGGGACGUAGACCACUGUGUUUUGCUAUCGUGCGGUCAUUACUAAAGUUGCUUUAACUAGAGAAGCAAGCGGACGGCAACAUUCAUCUCUGGGGGGGGGUCUAACUCGAGUGUUAUGGUGUGUUUGACCAUAUCUUAAAUUUACACUGGAAUAUCCCUUAUAUCUGUGCUUCCGGCAAAGCGGAACAGCAGCUAAAACUACGUGUUUUAGGCAGAGGCUGAAAUAAUGUUAAUUUGAUACACCAGAGUGAGAAACACAAGGCUGUUUAAGCUAUUAAAGUGGUAUCAAAAAAGUAAUAUCGAGUCUGAAAAAAGCAUAAUACCCCCUCCUUAAAGCUUUGCUGACUUGUUGGGAUGAAUGGAGGAAAACACAAUUUCUGUUCCCAAAAUGUUCACACAUAAUUUUGAUCAAGGAGGCUGUGGACGGAUCUAUAAUUUAAAGAAGACUUAAAGAAGUCUGCUAUGUGAACAAGGUUGUAUCUUACUUGAAGUUUACUCAUACAUAAAUGCAGUCUUUAGAUGUACGUUACUCAUACAACUUUAACAGCUUAGCCACACAAGUGGUAACAAUGGUGGGCUUCCAGCUUUGGCGAGGGGUGGGGGAAAACCAUUGCACUGUGGUGUGAGCGAGCAUUCACUAACCUCAAACUCUCUUCUACAUAUGUGCAAACCCUCCUAUCAUACUGAGGCUCAGCCGUACUUUCUCUGUCUGCCCACGCAUAGUAAGCGACAGUUUUUUUUCAGACCUUUUUCUUCUAAAACCACACCUCAUUAUUCUAGCACCACUGGUUGAUGGAAACACUGAACUGGAAGCCCCCAAAACUUCCACCAUGGUCAGCUUGGAGCCCACCAUGUUUCACCAUUUCUGUGAGCAGAGGUGGAACAUGGUGACAGCCAGAAUAAUGAAUAAUCAAAUGGAGAAUGACUCACUCAUAAAAGUAAUACUCAGAUUAAACUGAUCAAAGGACGGUUGGUUUGACCUUUUAUUAGUAUGUGGGUUUGAUCUAUGCUGUUUAAAGUUUGUAGUUGCUUGAAGAUCAGCUCUGUGACCUCUCAGAAUCCUGGAUAUGUUUAACAUACUGGGGGACAAUGAAUCAUGAAUUAACUGCAUUUAUAGACUUACACCCAGAACAAAGGAAGUUCAGUCAAAUAAUGCCUAAAUAGCAAUAUGCAUCUAUGUCAACACAACCAGAGCUUUGAAAUAAUGUUUCUCUUUGUCUAUUGAAUUUACUGUAUAUGUAGUAAAUCUAUACUGCUUUUUUAACCAAGUAUUGUACUCACUGACUGGAAGAAUAAUUCCUGCUGGGAGUCUGACUCCCUCCCCGUCCACAUGGACCACUUAACCCUUAGAUGCAUGGCCUACCAGUACCCACACGUUUCCAUGAGUGGGGUCAAAAAUGACCCCAACUAGAAUCCAUGCGUUUUAAGCUGUGUAUUGCUUGACAUGUCUUUUGUUUUGGAUAAAGAUGAUGAUUUUUAUCAUAUUUUGUUCAACAAAAGAAUUAUUUAAUGUCUGACUUGUUCACUUUUCACAUAUUAUCAUUUUAUCACAAAACGGCAUUGAGAAAGGUUAAAAAAAAGUCAACCUCCAAUUUUCGACAUCUAUUGCUAGCUUUAACGUCUGGUUUCUCACACCUCUUCUUCCUCUUCUGUUGGCCCUGUCUGUUUUAGUUCUGUGGCUGGAUUGCAGCUUUAGUCAUCCCACACCUUUCCUUGCAAAAGGUUAAAAAAAGUCAACCUCCAAUUAUGAUUCCAGCACAAGAAUGAUUAUAUAUUUUACAUGUUAGUUUCUUUUUAUCUUUCAAUUGAACACAAACUUGCUAUCAAUACAGCUAUCAAAACUUUAGCUUUCAGUGUUUCUGUGCCCCCUUGUCGCAUGUCCACACACAUACAAAAACACACACUGUCUUCUCUCUCUUCACUGUUACAAGCUGCUGUUGCAAAAUAGCCAACCCUCCUCUGAUGUAAGGACUGCACAUAGGGUCACCGCAUUUUCAACAUCUAAUGCUAGCUUUACAGUCUUGGUUUCUCACACCUCUUCUUCCUCUUCUGUUGGCCCUGUCUGUUUUAGUUCUGUAGCUGGAUUGCAGCUUUAGUCAUCCCACACCUUUCCAUUACUGUAGUGAUGUAGGUUGGUAGAAGUGGAUCACUUCUGUUUUUUUUUUUCUCUCAGGUGUUUUCAUCCACCAUUUUGCUGGUGGUGCAUUGUGCCGAGGAGCAGAACAGCCUUUUCCUUUAUUCAAACAUAGCUGAUCAUGGUCAUGCUGCCAUUGAACCCAAAUUCAAAGUAGUAAUUUGGAGAUAAUAUCAAAACACUAUCACACAAAAUCCAUGGAUGUGGAAAAUAAGUCCAUAUUUUAUAGCAGCACAUAUAUUAUGAGGUAUAAAUGAUGAUAAUACUUAAAUGUAUGUUGCUGUGCUACCGUUAAAAUAACCCUCAGGGUGGCAAGACUCCUCAGAUUAGAUGUGUGGAUCAACAGUAAAUGUAUACCUGACAGUCACAGUUGAUAAAAAUCCAAGCUUUCUUGGGUUAACCCUGAAAUUUCAUAGUAAGUGAUUGGGGUCAUUUUUGCCCCCACGUUUGGAAAAGUGGGGUACUGAUACAAAAAACGCAGUAACUUAAAAACAAUAACAAUAGGAUACAAAUCUAAGUGGCCUCAUUUCAAAGAGAACCUAUUUGAGGAAUACAUGGAAAAUUAAAUUAUAGAAAUCAAAAAUUACAAUCAUAUUGGAAAAAAACUGGCACUGGGGUCAUUUUUGACCCCACUUAUGCAUCUAGGAUAAUGUGGUCCCCCGCCCUACAUUGACUAUUCAUUUAAAACAGUCCAAGUAUAACAUAAAGGUUUACUCUCCUAUUGCCAUAAACCAAUCCAUAUUUUUCUAAAUAUAAAAAAAACAUCACUUUGUACAACAGCCUUUUUUUAAACUGUAUUUUUAAGUUUUACCUUAUGAAUUGAACAAAUAGCACAAACAGGUCACCGGGGGAAACACAAUAUAUUAUACAUGUUAAGUCACUUUUCUGUCACAUGAUACUAUCCAUAUAGCUCUGAGAAAGAAAGGUGGAAAAAACAAGGAACAAAACCUUUGCCUGAUAUCAGGUUAGGGAUGUGGCAAGUCUGUAUCACUCCCAGUCCAUCUCAUCUCCAAAGAGGGUUUAAUAAUAUUGAAACACACAGCAUUUACAAAUCACUUAUACAUGCUGGCAUAAUGAAUACUGGAUAGGUAGGUCGCAAGUUGGAGACUUAAAAUAGUAACAACAACAAUAACAGUAAUGAUAGCCAUGAUAUCCAUUCACCUUUUGUUUGUGGUUCCUUAAACUCGUCACGUCUUAGUUAUUGCGUUUUUAUGAGCUGCAAGUGAUAUUUUAGAAGGCGUUUGUCUUUUGCACUGUAUUAAGUCGGUAUAUUCCCAUCAUAGAUUCAAAAUGAUCACCAAAACCCAGAACUAGCUUUUUACUCACAACUGUUUUUACUCAAAACAAACGCCCUUGCGUCAGUAUAUAUGCACUUUCAUUGGCUUUUUCUAUUUUAAAGUCAUGAAACAAACAUUUUUAACUUUAUUAUGAUCACUCUGUUCUACUGAUAAUUGCUAUGAUUUAUUUCUGCCACAGACAGAUGUGUCCACUAUCCACCAAUUUGGUCGUUUUGUCACACUGUUAUUAGCAUGGCUUAGCUAGCAACUGUAUAUAUUAUGAUUAAUGAAUACUGUGUGUUUUUUAAUGUUUUUGCAUUGCAUUUAGGAUCUUCCUCUUUUUAAUCCCCUCUCUCUCCGUUCUACCUUUCCUUUUCUUCUUUCCAUUUCACAUGGCAGUAAUGCUGUAUAAUUUACACAGAGGAGUGAGCGGACAGUUAUUGUGUGUGUCACGAGAUAUGACAUGGACUCAAAUUUUGCAGCUGGUGGCUACAUAUCAACAAGCUGUGCACAAUAAACCAACCGUGAGAGUUGCACUCACAAACAGGAAUCAGAGAGGCACGCCCUAUACCCUUUUAGUGCUGGUAAAUAGUAUGGUGUUUGAAAGUGGGCUAAGCUGGAGGCAAAAAAAAAUCUUAAGACAUGUUAGUCAUCAGCAGCUAGCAAGUUGUUUUUGGCUUGUUUUGGAUAUUAGCAGAAGGUAAUGUGGGUUUCUCAGGUCACGGACUGUCCCGGACCGAGAGUGUUGCUGAAAUAACUUAACAGAGCUGACAGGCCAAAUGAUAUACUCACUGGAUGGAUACUUACAUUAAUUUGAUAGAAAAAUACCAUGUGUAUGGUAAAGACAAAGUCAGGGCAUGCCAGCCUUGAGAUGCAUUUUUAUUUGUGGUUGAUUAAUACAUGAUAAGACAACAUAUGAAGACGCCUUUUACCGUGUGGUGGUGAUUCCUGUUUGCCUUCAGUUUUAACUCCUCUUGCCUCCAGCCUUUCCCCUGACAUCAUGACUUUUGCCCAAAAGUGAGUACUCAUUCGCUCAUUUUUUCUAUUUACACUGACUGCUCACAGCAGGCCAAAUUGGCCCCCAGACCAUCGGGAAAUGUCCCAGUAUCCUUUACAUACAGCUAUGACCUGCACCUGCUUACAAAGAAUUGUUCCAUUUCCUCUCUAUUUUAUUGUAUUUUUUUUGACAGCAAGAGUUUGGCACACUCAUAAACAGAAGGAAAAGAGAACAAACGCAAAACAAUGGAAACAAUGGUCAGUCAUUUUUGUCCCUUGCUGACACAUAAUAAAGGCAAGUACGAUGUUGUCAGAGGUGAGCAAAAACAAAAAUGUUUCCAUCUCACAGCACCAACUUCAUUAUUACUCUUUCGCACCACUAGUUGGUUUGUUUAUGCUCCCAACUUUAACACAAGGUGAGCUUAACUCUUGAAGGCAAACAGAGAACUCAAAUGUACCAGACUGGGAAGGGGGAAGGGAGGUCAUGAGGCAUUUUGGGGUCACCAGGUCCUGAACUGUCAGAUAGGGCUAAAAUUGUAGUUAAGUAGAGUAGUCUAACCUCAGCGUAACAGCAGUAAAUAUUUUUUCAACUGUAUGGCUGAUAAAUUGCAAACUUUGACUGAAGUUCUCUUUUUAAAGCAAAAACUGUUUUAUUUCACUGCUUGGUCUAACCAAUUAUGGCUCUGAAUGCAUCCUUCACCAACUGCUUUGUCGUCACUGUGUUAGCAUAUGAAAUUCUGUGGAUGCACUCUGACUCUUGAAUCCCCCUAAACUUUCACACUCCUGAGAGAGAGGUACUCACAGACAAAAAUAUAUAACCAUGUGAAGUCUCUGUUUGUUGUCUGUAGUGGAUAUUAAAGAUAUGAAGUGGUAUAAAGAGAUCUAAAAGCAGAGGCCUUAAACUGAAUACUAGGAUUCAGUCAUAGCUUUUCUCUAUACACAAUCUAGGGUAUAAUAUAAUCUACUGGUAAUCUGAAACUGAUCAUGAAAGAGGACGAAGCUCAUACAUGUGGCCAUUUUUAUUUUUCACAUCACUUGGGGUCAUAGUACAAUAAAGAAGAAACAUCAUUUUCAAAUGUUUACAUAUAAAGAAACAUCAUUAGAUAUAUAAUGAUUAGUAAAAAUCCUUCUUAGAAGUAUAACUUAACUAGCUUAAGGUAAGAAAUUUGUUAAAAACAUGGAAACAUUCAGACUCUGUGGACAUUAUAAAACAGUAGACAAUCUUUUCGUCAAAGGAGACCUUUUAGUCUUAAUUUAAUAGUGCAGUCCUUUUUUUAGUACUGGCUGGAGGCUGGAUAUUGUGUCAGUGAUGGUAUCACUUCAUGACCAAUUGUUGGAGUUGCCAGUUCUUUCCAUCCAGAUAGGCCAUGCUGGUCUUUGUCCACACUCGGCUGGGGCUGGAGCAGAUUCUUUUACCAUAAACUGUAGUAAAUCUGUUAAAAAUAAGAACAUGAAAACAUUCAGGAACAUGUUACAACAUUUAAAGAUGGAUUUUAAAAAAGUGUUUAGGUUAAUUCUGAAAGGUAUACUUACACCACUGCAUGAAGAGGGCAUGAGGACUUAUACUGUAUAUAGUAACUUUUCAGCCGAUCUCGGUGGACUUGAGUGGAUGUGAGUAUUCUGCAGCAACUGCCUAUCCCACCUUUGAAUUAACAAGUAAGAGUCUCUUGUUAACAUCAACAUAUUUUCACAAUUCCAAAAUUAUACAUGUAUUUUUGAAGUACAACAAACAUAGAGAAAAGGUAGACAAAUAGUAAUCUAAUACUGCUCUUACCUUGACCUGAGGUUGUGGACACCAUCAGAGUUACAACAAAUAGAGACACAAUCAAACUGAGACUUGUCAUUGUGAGUCUUUGAUUAAGCAGAUAUGAGUGGUCGUUAGCACUGCAACCUCUUUUAAACACACUGACACAGCCAGCACAUUCAUUUAUACACCUUACAAGCUGAGCAUGAUGCACCCACAGAUAUGCAAUAGUGGAAAGUAACAUACAAAAUGUUUCCUCCCAGUGAGGUCCUCGCCCCUCUACUCACAGUUCCGGUGGUCUAAGACGGCUAAUACUUUUUCCGCUGCAGGAAGAUGUGGUUUCUGCAUUGUGGGCCUCCUUCACUUUUACAAUCUUAACUGUCGCAUUAUAAUAAUUCCACAAUGAAUGGACUUAUUUUAUGGCUGUUAGAGUUUUAAAUGGAUAUAUAAAGCGAUGUUAACACACACUGUAUGAAACUGUCACUGUAAACUCACGUCUUACAUUUCUUUGUUUUGAACACAGACGCUUUCUACUGUAAGGUUUUUGAGGUUUCUUUCUGCAAACAAUGUGAGCAUACCUCUCUCUGAGACCACAGAGUGCAUGCAGAAGUAGAAUCAAAAAUACCAGUUUCCUAGUAUCAUGACAUUUGAAGUCAUGUGUAAGUCUAACUAAAGAACAAAGACAAAACUCGGGAGGUUUUUUUGUUCCAUUCAGACACACCGGGUUGGUUGCCACAGGUUUUUUCACACAUGAGAGGAAAAAUCAUGGGAGCAGAGUAGAGACGUUUCCUUUGUUUGAUUGUUGUGAGGUGAUGUGUCUUCGGCCUUUACUUUAUAAUUUUGUAAUAUGAUAAAAGAUAUUGUCAAAAAUACAUUUAAAUAAAGACUCACUGCUUAACAACAACAAAAGAGAGUCUGAAUAUGAACAGCCUUUACACCCCUAAUGUCUGACUCACCGUUGCACUCUUUCCAGUCAUCCAGCAGUAGCUCAGGAGGUAGAGCAGUCGUCCAGUAACUGUAAGGUUGGCGAUCGAUUCCCCCCUAUCCCAAGUCU